UUCCUUCUUCCCUCUCACAUUUUCUUUUGUCUUUAUAAUCUCAUCUCCUUCGUCUUUGUGCUCAGAGCGUCUGUCUCCUGCUGUCAGAUCUACAACUGAACCUUCAUCAGGUUUUAAAACAACAUUUUUCUCCACCUUGUUUUUGCUUUUCAGACACGGUGUUUGGACAAAAUGGAGUCGAGUGAGAAUCCUGCAAACACAAAUCCCUCUGCUCCAAGAAACAAAAACUCUGAAACAAACUCACCGACAACGAGAGGAAGAAAACGAGACAAGAACAACCUGACCACACCUGAAGGGGGCAGCGACGUCAGAGAUCGAUCAAAAAGCCUUUUAAUAACCUUCAAAAAGCCACGUUUAACGUAAGUGAAUACAAAACAAACUCAUCUGCAGGAGCAGGGC